GAUGAACGCUGGCGGCGUGCCUAAUACAUGCAAGUCGAGCGAACAGACGAGGAGCUUGCUCCUUUGACGUUAGCGGCGGACGGGUGAGUAACACGUGGGUCACCUACCUAUAAGACUGGGAUAACUUCGGGAAACCGGAGCUACUACCGGAUAAUAUUUCGAACCGCAUGGUUCGAUAGUGAAAGAUGGCUUUGCUAUCACUUAUAGAUGGACCUGCGCCGUAUUAGCUAGUCGGUAAGGUAACGGCUUACCAAGGCAACGAUACGUAGCCGACCUGAGAGGGUGAUCGACCACACUGGAACUGAGACACGGUCCAGACUCCUACGGGAGGCAGCAGUAGGGAAUCUUCCGCAAUGGGCGAAAGCCUGACGGAGCAACGCCGCGUGAGUGAUGAAGGUCUUCGGAUCGUAAAGCUCUGUUAUUAGGGAAGAACAAACGUGUAAGUAACUGUGCACGUCUUGACGGUACCUAAUCAGAAAGCCACGGCUAACUACGUG
rnacentral:rRNA from 1 species